GGGGCCAUGGCUCAGUGAAAGAGCAUUUGCUUGGCAUGCAGAACCUUCCAAGUUCAAUCCUUGGGAGCUCCA
rnacentral:tRNA from 1 species